rnacentral:rRNA from 1 species
GAGGGAAACAACCCAGACCGCCAGCUAAGGUCCCAAAGUCAUGGUUAAGUGGGAAACGAUGUGGGAAGGCCCAGACAGCCAGGAUGUUGGCUUAGAAGCAGCCAUCAUUUAAAGAAAGCGUAAUAGCUCACUGGUCGAGUCGGCCUGCGCGGAAGAUGUAACGGGGCUAAACCAUGCACCGAAGCUGCGGCAGCGACACUGUGUGUUGUUGGGUAGGGGAGCGUUCUGUAAGCCUGUGAAGGUGUGUCGUGAGGCAUGCUGGAGGUAUCAGAAGUGCGAAUGCUGACAUAAGUAACGAUAAAGCGGGUGAAAAGCCCGCUCGCCGGAAGACCAAGGGUUCCUGUCCAACGUUAAUCGGGGCAGGGUGAGUCGACCCCUAAGGCGAGGCCGAAAGGCGUAGUCGAUGGGAAACGGGUUAAUAUUCCCGUACUUGGUGUUACUGCGAAGGGGGGACGGAGAAGGCUAUGUUGGCCGGGCGACGGUUGUCCCGGUUUAAGCGUGUAGGUGUGUGUUCCAGGUAAAUCCGGUUCACUUUAACACUGAGGCGUGACGACGAGGCACUACGGUGCUGAAGCAACAAAUGCCCUGCUUCCAGGAAAAGCCUCUAAGCAUCAGGUAACAUCAAAUCGUACCCCAAACCGACACAGGUGGUCAGGUAGAGAAUACCAAGGCGCUUGAGAGAACUCGGGUGAAGGAACUAGGCAAAAUGGUGCCGUAACUUCGGGAGAAGGCACGCUGACACGUAGGUGAAGUGAUUUACUCAUGGAGCUGAAGUCAGUCGAAGAUACCAGCUGGCUGCAACUGUUUAUUAAAAACACAGCACUGUGCAAACACGAAAGUGGACGUAUACGGUGUGACGCCUGCCCGGUGCCGGAAGGUUAAUUGAUGGGGUCAGCGCAAGCGAAGCUCCUGAUCGAAGCCCCGGUAAACGGCGGCCGUAACUAUAACGGUCCUAAGGUAGCGAAAUUCCUUGUCGGGUAAGUUCCGACCUGCACGAAUGGCGUAAUGAUGGCCAGGCUGUCUCCACCCGAGACUCAGUGAAAUUGAACUCGCUGUGAAGAUGCAGUGUACCCGCGGCAAGACGGAAAGACCCCGUGAACCUUUACUAUAGCUUGACACUGAACAUUGAGCCUUGAUGUGUAGGAUAGGUGGGAGGCUUUGAAGUGUGGACGCCAGUCUGCAUGGAGCCGACCUUGAAAUACCACCCUUUAAUGUUUGAUGUUCUAACGUGGACCCGUUACCCGGGUUGCGGACAGUGUCUGGUGGGUAGUUUGACUGGGGCGGUCUCCUCCUAAAGAGUAACGGAGGAGCACGAAGGUUGGCUAAUCCUGGUCGGACAUCAGGAGGUUAGUGCAAUGGCAUAAGCCAGCUUGACUGCGAGCGUGACGGCGCGAGCAGGUGCGAAAGCAGGUCAUAGUGAUCCGGUGGUUCUGAAUGGAAGGGCCAUCGCUCAACGGAUAAAAGGUACUCCGGGGAUAACAGGCUGAUACCGCCCAAGAGUUCAUAUCGACGGCGGUGUUUGGCACCUCGAUGUCGGCUCAUCACAUCCUGGGGCUGAAGUAGGUCCCAAGGGUAUGGCUGUUCGCCAUUUAAAGUGGUACGCGAGCUGGGUUUAGAACGUCGUGAGACAGUUCGGUCCCUAUCUGCCGUGGGCGCUGGAGAACUGAGGGGGGCUGCUCCUAGUACGAGAGGACCGGAGUGGACGCAUCACUGGUGUUCGGGUUGUCAUGCCAAUGGCACUGCCCGGUAGCUAAAUGCGGAAGAGAUAAGUGCUGAAAGCAUCUAAGCACGAAACUUGCCCCGAGAUGAGUUCUCCCUGAGACUUUAGGUCUCCUGAAGGAACGUUGAAGACGACGACGUUGAUAGGCCGGGUGUGUAAGCGCAGCGAUGCGUUGAGCUAACCGGUACUAAUGAACCGUGAGGCUUAACCUUACAACGCCGAAG